rnacentral:rRNA from 1 species
CUACGGGUGGCUGCAGUGGGGAAUAUUGCGCAAUGGGCGAAAGCCUGACGCAGCAACGCCGUGUGAGGGAUGAAGGCCUUUGGGUCGUAAACCUCUGUCAGAUGGGAAGAAUUCUGACGGUACCAUCAGAGGAAGCCCCGGCUAACUCCGUGCCAGCAGCCGCGGUAAUACGGAGGGGGCAAGCGUUGUUCGGAAUCAUUGGGCGUAAAGAGUAUGUAGGCGGCCAGACAAGUCAGACGUGCAAGCCCACGGCUCAACCGUGGAAUUGCGUUUGAAACUGUUUGGCUUGAGUACAGGAGAGGAAAGCGGAAUUCCCAGUGUAGCGGUGAAAUGCAUUGAUAUUGGGAAGAACACCGGUGGCGAAGGCGGCUUUCUGGUCUGCUACUGACGCUGAGAUACGAAAGCCAGGGGAGCAAAGGGGAUUAGAUACCCUCGUAGUC